CAUACAGGAGGGCAGCAUGCUACAGAACACAGAGUAAUGGGUGUGGAGCGUUGGGGAAAGGACCUCCCUUUGCCCAUGAUCUUAUCUGGGAGGUACAGAUCAGGGGCCCUUCUGUUUUGAUGGGAGUUUUCUAUACUCUGCAGAGAGAAGGGACGCUGGAGACUGUGAGAUUGUGCUCUACGCUGGGCUGUCCUGUAUUUUCAUCCUUCUCUUCAUCCAGUUGUUGAUCUUGCUCUGGAGAAAGUGCCCCAUCAGAGGGAGAGCUGUGCGAAGAGGGAAUCCAAUACCUAUGAGGCAGAUCCCACAGACUGAAUAUGCGAGUCUGCCGUACAACAACAGCAAUGCUCCUCGGUGACUGAUGUAGUCUCACAAAAGUGGUUUAUAUUUUGUAAUUAAGAGAAAAAAGAAUGAAAGAGAAACCGAGAGAAAUACAGAAAGUCUCAUGUUUCUAAUGUGCUAUGAUGUGAUGUGAGUUUCCUUGAAAUACAACCACUUCCAGGCUCACUUUUCUGAACCCAUAUUCUGGGCUGACAUCUCCAUUCUUGCAAAAAAGCCACAUGGGAUCAUUAGCGAUUUGCCUGGAGGUUCAUGGGGCAUUGGGUUUACAUCUCAUCUCAAACAUGUCACUUCCCCCACUGUAGCGCCUUGUCACAGGGUUCACUCACCCCUAGGGUUCCUGCU